CGCCCCUUCGGGGGCGUGGAGACCGGCGGAUGGGUGAGUAACGCGUAGGCAAUCUGCCUGAAGGACGGGGAUAACAUGCCGAAAGGCAUGCUAAUACCCGAUGAUGCAGCGGGGUCGCAUGACCACAGUUGUUAAAGGCUUCGGCCACCUUCAGAGGAACCUGCGUGCCAUUAGCUAGUUGGUAGGGUAACGGCCUACCAAGGCGAUGAUGGCUAGGGGGUCUGAGAGGAUGAUCCCCCACACUGGGACUGAGACACGGCCCAGACUCCUACGGGAGGCAGCAGUGAGGAAUCUUGCGCAAUGGGGGCAACCCUGACGCAGCCACGCCGCGUGCCGGAAGACGGCCCUACGGGUUGUAAACGGCUUUUAUGCGGGAAGAACCCGGGUCUUUCGAGACCCGCUGACGGUACCGUAUGAAUAAGCACCGGCUAACUCCGUGCCAGCAGCCGCGGUAAUACGGAGGGUGCAAGCGUUGUCCGGAAUCAUUGGGUGUAAAGGGUGCGCAGGCGGAAGCCUAAGUCGGAGGUGAAAUCUUGCCGCUUAACGGUAAAAUGGCCUUCGAUACUGGGUUUCUUGAGUCCAGAAGAGGCCGGUGGAAUUCGUGGUGUAGCGGUGAAAUGCAUAGAGAUCACGAAGAACACCAGUGGCGAAGGCGGCCGGCUGGUCUGGAACUGACGCUGAGGCACGAGAGCGUGGGGAGCGAACAGGAUUAGAUACCCUG
rnacentral:rRNA from 1 species